GCCCGAGUGGUGAAAUUGGUAUACACGACGGAUUCAAAAUCCGUUUCCUUCGGGAGUGUCGGUUCAAGUCCGACCUUGGGCA
rnacentral:tRNA from 1 species